rnacentral:sRNA from 2 species
CCCUAGCCCCGAUAGAAACGAAAAUCCUUUUGUGCCGGGGUUCGGCACAAAAGAUUGUAGUGGAUAGCGGGAAAUAGC